rnacentral:rRNA from 1 species
GAAAGAUGGUUCUGCUAUCACUCUUGGAUGGACCUGCGGUGCAUUAGCUAGUUGGUAAGGUAACGGCUUACCAAGGCAAUGAUGCAUAGCCGAGUUGAGAGACUGAUCGGCCACAUUGGGACUGAGACACGGCCCAAACUCCUACGGGAGGCAGCAGUAGGGAAUCUUCCACAAUGGACGAAAGUCUGAUGGAGCAACGCCGCGUGAGUGAAGAAGGGUUUCGGCUCGUAAAGCUCUGUUGGUAGUGAAGAAAGAUAGAGGUAGUAACUGGCCUUUAUUUGACGGUAAUUACUUAGAAAGUCACGGCUAACUACGUGCCAGCAGCCGCGGUAAUACGUAGGCGGCAGGCGUUGUCCGGAUUUAUUGGGCGUAAAGCGAGUGCAGGCGGUUCAAUAAGUCUGAUGUGAAAGCCUUCGGCUCAACCGGAGAAUUGCAUCAGAAACUGUUGAACUUGAGUGCAGAAGAGGAGAGUGGAACUCCAUGUGUAGCGGUGGAAUGCGUAGAUAUAUGGAAGAACACCAGUGGCGAAGGCGGCUCUCUGGUCUGCAACUGACGCUGAGGCUCGAAAGCAUGGGUAGCGAACAGGAUUAGAUACCCUGGUAGUCCAUGCCGUAAACGAUGAGUGCUAAGUGUUGGGAGGUUUCCGCCUCUCA